GCCGGACUCUUCCAUGUCGGGUCACUUGAGGUGUCACAUGGUGACACCCUAUGCUAUUAUCUACACUUAUCCGGGUGUGCUUCUUGUACUUACACACUUUUUGCGAAAUAUGGUUGUGGGGACAUUUUGCAUAGAGCGUGCCGGUUAAGUAUUUGGUUGUCGAUAGUGAUAAAGAUGCGUUGUGGAUCAAAUGCCAAGCCAAAUUAUGCUCCCCCACUAGUCUAUGUGCGGAUGGAGUGGGCGCCAAGCACACGCUGGCCGAUGAGAAAAGAGGGAUAAACUUCAGCUCUCAUGUCCCAGUGUGGAAAUUAGUGUGAUUAGAGGGAGGCCUCUAAUCACAAGACCUUACUUAUCUAUGGCUCAUGUGGAUCACACGACCCAUAUUGACCGGACCCCUAUGUCGGAAGGCUCCUGCUUCUCAGAGCUUGGAAGUAUGUUUGUUUGUGUACCUGUGCCUAUGUUUACACCGAGCCAGCUCAGCGUCAAUGAAGAGAUGGGAUGUGUUGUAAACUAAGGAGAGGAGAGGGUGUGACGUGUGAAAAAGCUGUCCCAUACUGAGAUACUUUCUUAAGGCUUUACAGGUGAAACAUGUGUGAAAGCGAACGUGACGAGAAACCAUCGUUUUUAUCGGAAACGUGUUUUCUUUUGACGGUUUGCCUUUUUUAUUCAGCCAGGAAGUUACCAAUACGAACGAUAGAUCGGGUGUGAGGCUCGUGUUUGCAGUGUGAUACGGAAGUGCCUUCAUUCAUUGUAAAGAUCUUCAUUUUAUUUUUCUUACGCAGGGCCUCGCUAUGGUGGCCUUCAUGAAUAAGUGCUUGGUUCAGUCAGCUUCUAGACUAGUGGGAAUAUAGGAAAUUAGGCUUUAGGCUUUACUUUAGAUCAUGAAUUGAAGCCCCUUAAAAGAUAGCUUAGGCUGAUUACGAUUUGUGUGUCGAUCAAACAAGGCGUAUCGGAAAUUCGUCGUUCUUCCGGUCAAUUAAAAAUUGUGUUCCUGCACAGAAAAACAAAUAUAUUUAACUUAGAGAACAGCACUUUGUUAGGGAAAAGGCUUAUCAACGGUAGCCUAACAAUAAUUUCUGUACUGGUGUAAUGCAAUGCUGUUAUUUCUGAGGUUAAAGACUAUUAAUCUUAACUUGUUCUUGGAAUCCAAAAUGCUUUUAACACAUGGCUAGUAAUAAGCAUAUAGAUGUUUUCACUCUUCAUAUUUUAGCCUUUAAUUAUUUCACACCUUUUGUUUAAUAUGCUAAUUAAUAGGCAUUCAGUUGACAUACAUUAAAACACCCAUAUCUAUUUGUGAUAUUAAUAUUUGUUAUUGUUAAAAUUGGGCAUGACGUUCUGCUACUGCCAACUUCUACUGACUUGUAGAAUAUUUAAGUUACCAAGCAAUGCCAAAAGGAUUUCAUUAUUAUAUACUGUUUUAUUAUAUUAUUUUAGAGACUGCUGACCAGCAAUUAGUGACUGUUCGAGUAUCUAAAGCAUAGCUUAUAUAAAAUAUAGGUAAAUAGCUAACUUCAACAACAAAUCACUUUGGUGAGAAUUUUUUUAACAUUAGUUGUGAUAAGUUAUGUGAUAUGUAAAAAGGUCUGUGGUUAGAGAUACUAAAAACGUACCGUAGUGCAACUUAUUUAUCAUCCUCUUGAAAUCAGAGUUGUUGGUUGGACCAUAGUUUAUUUUAUAGGGCUCUGCUAACAAAUCUGAAAGGUUGUUGAAAUACGUUUUUUGAUUAUUGUUUUUUAUUCAUAAUUUUUUGGGAUAAAAAAUUGUUUUGUACCUAGAGAUUAACAUUUGCACAGUUCAGAAACGUCUAGAAGUACAAAGAAUAUGCUCUGUCCAAGAUGGAGAGAAAUAUAUGCCUGACCUUUUUCAUGUAAAAAACAGAAAAUUGGAAUAUUAAUAUAUCAGAACGAAUAGCAAAGGUGACAUUUUCUGUCCUAAUUUUGGCAACUGGGACCUUGUGCUUUAAAAGUGUGACGCCAUGACUAUGUGUUGCUAACCCCCACACCCCCUUACUCUACAAAUGAAUAAUUUGCACCAAACAAAUGAAAAGACACAAUGCUGUGUUGUUGGUCUCAUAGAGACCAGACACAUGGUGGUUAGGACGCCCAUGCCUUUUUUAUGCAUUUUUUCCCUGUGUUAAGAAAGUGCCUUGGGUCAAAACCUUUUAUGCGAGGACAUGUUGAUGUAAGUGGUCCUUUACCUCAGAUGUUUACAAAGGUGUAACCAAAUAAACUGUUUUUUGUACC
ensembl:lncRNA